AUCAGAGCUCCUGACAUCGCCUACCUUUGGCUGCGUUCAGCGGUUCAGUUUUAUGUACUCACUCUCUCUUCUCGAGAGAUAAGACUCUUCUCCUGCAAUUCCCCUUUCCUAUCUCUCUGGUGAACGAAAUGGCGUCUGUGCAAGCUACUAGUUUUGCCUCAUCUGUGUGCAAAAAUGGCACCCAGAAGUUUCCGAGCAGCUCCUUCUUGCCGGGUUUUGAUGUCGUGGCUGGCCGUGGAUUUAUUAAGAAGGAAACUUUACCUCGCUCUUUGAUCUCAUCUAUUCCCAGAGCCACCUUAACCUUUGAUCCUCCAACUACCAAUUCAGAUAAAAUUAAACAGAGGAAGCAUACUCUUGAUCCUUCUUCUCCUGAUUUUCUUCCUCUUCCCUCUUUCGAACAGUGUUUUCCAAGGAGUACAAAAGAAUACAGGGAAGUUGUUCAUGAACAGACUGGCCAUGUUCUCAAGGUUCCUUUCAGGCGGGUCCACUUGUCUGGGGAUGAACCCUGUUUCGAUAAUUAUGAUACCAGUGGUCCUCAAAACAUUAGUCCCCGAACAGGACUUCCUAAACUGCGUAAAGACUGGGUUGAUAGGCGGGAGAAGCUAGGCACACCAAGAUACACUCAGAUGUACUAUGCGAAGCAAGGAAUAAUAACUGAGGAAAUGCUGUAUUGUGCUGUUCGAGAGAAACUUGACCCAGAGUUUGUGAGGUCAGAGGUUGCUCGUGGACGGGCAAUAAUCCCUUCCAACAAGAAGCACCUAGAAUUACAGCCAAUGAUAGUUGGAAGAAAUUUUUUGGUCAAAGUCAAUGCUAAUAUUGGAAAUUCUGCUGUUGCAAGCUCUAUUGAGGAAGAAGUUUAUAAGGUUCAAUGGGCAACCAUGUGGGGUGCUGACACUGUCAUGGACCUUUCAACAGGUCGCCACAUUCACGAGACCCGUGAAUGGAUAUUACGAAACUCUGCUGUGCCAGUUGGAACUGUGCCCAUCUAUCAAGCACUUGAGAAAGUUAAUGGAAUCGCUGAAAAUCUGAGCUGGGAAGUCUUCAGAGAGACAUUGAUUGAACAAGCCGAGCAAGGAGUAGAUUAUUUCACUAUCCAUGCUGGGGUUCUUCUGCGAUACAUUCCUUUAACUGCAAAACGAAUGACAGGAAUUGUUUCUCGUGGAGGGUCAAUUCAUGCCAAGUGGUGCUUGGCUUAUCACAAGGAAAAUUUUGCUUAUGAACACUGGGAUGACAUACUUGACAUCUGUAAUCAAUAUGAUGUGGCCCUUUCAAUUGGUGAUGGGCUGAGACCUGGGUCCAUAUAUGAUGCAAAUGACACUGCACAAUUUGCAGAGCUCUUGACUCAGGGGGAGCUAACCCGUCGAGCAUGGGAGAAGGACGUGCAGGUAAUGAAUGAAGGACCUGGCCAUAUUCCUAUGCACAAAAUCCCAGAGAACAUGCAAAAACAGCUAGAGUGGUGCAAUGAAGCACCUUUCUACACUCUUGGACCCCUGACAACUGAUAUUGCUCCCGGAUACGAUCACAUUACCUCUGCCAUUGGUGCUGCCAACAUCGGGGCUCUAGGCACUGCACUCCUCUGUUAUGUCACACCAAAGGAGCAUCUUGGGUUACCAAAUAGGGAUGAUGUGAAGGCUGGAGUUAUAGCAUAUAAGAUAUCUGCACAUGCAGCUGAUUUAGCAAAAGGUCACCCUCACGCUCAAGCCUGGGAUGAUGCAUUAAGCAAGGCCCGAUUUGAGUUCAGAUGGAUGGACCAAUUUGCUUUAUCCUUGGACCCGAUGACAGCAAUGUCCUUCCAUGACGAAACCCUGCCAUCAGAAGGUGCAAAAGUAGCACAUUUUUGCUCUAUGUGUGGUCCAAAGUUCUGCUCCAUGAAGAUAACAGAGGAUGUGAGGAAGUACGCAGAGGAGCAUGGUUAUGGUAGCGCAGAGGAAGCUGUACAACAUGGGAUGGAUGCUAUGAGUGCUGAAUUCCUGGCUGCUAAGAAAACUGUUAGCGGAGAACAACAUGGUGAAGUUGGUGGAGAAAUCUACCUGCCGGAAAGUUACAUUAGAUCUUCUGAAAGGAGCAUAUGAGUGCCAGGGAUUUGGUCAAAAAAGCGUUGGAACUAUUAUGCAUGGUUAGGUUGUGACAAUAAGGGAUAUGCCAUUUUGCUUUCUGAUAGAGGGGUGCCUGUUUUCUGCUUUAAUACUGGCCAUUUGGUCAUCUUGAGCAGGUCAGGCUGAGAAAGUCCCUUUGAACCUGAACAGGAUAAUACCUGCGUAGGGAGUGUGCAUUUUCUUUUCCCUUUUUUGUUCUUGCACAGGGAGGCAGCUUCCUAUGCUCGGGCAAGUUGAUACACAUUGUGCAGAUUCACCAAGAAUCCUGGGAUUAUUGCUUCAGUGGCUGCAACGUAAUCAUGGCUGGCAAUUCAUGCAAUUCUUGGAUCAAUAUUUAAAAAAGGGAAGAGAAAAUUCGUCAAAUAUUACCAUCUAUUUUAUUUUUGUUUAAUACAUGGUAAGAUGAUUCAGAAUAAUUAAAAAUGUCAAUUACACAAAAUGCGUAGUAUAUCUGAUAACAAAUAGAAGUGACUAUCAAAGACAUUAAUGAUUAUAACUUCAGACCCAGCACCCCUCCUCCUGUAAAGGGAACAAAUUGACGUUAAAAAUCCUCUUAAUGGCCUAAAAGUUAAUCCUUUUAAUUGCUUGCAAAAA